rnacentral:lncRNA from 1 species
ACGUUAACUGCUGCCGCCGCCGCCGUCGUCGUGCGCCGCAUCGCCGUGUUACGCCGCCGUCAACCACGUCGCGCGAGAAUAACAACGUUACCGACGACGACGACGACGCCGUCACUGUCGCCGCUGCUCCGAACACCGGUAUGUUACGUCCGCAUAAUAAAUACCUAUAUAUUAUAGUAUUUUAUGUAUUUAUUUUGUUUUACCGUCCGCCGCUUUCUCGAUCAGCCGCCACUAUAUCCGUAAGGCACUCCUGUCGAGGUUACUUUUGACAUUUUUGUGUAACCGUAUAUAUAUAUAGACUUGCAUUUCGUACAUUUCGCGGUAAUAUGACCGCGAAAUUGUCAUUAAUUUUUCAUUUUUUAUUUUUUUCAAAUUGCCCCGAUCUUUAUAAACGAAUAAAAUAUAACAAUACUAUACGUAUUAUAUAACACACACAAUGUUGCAGAAUGGGGUAACAAUGUGCUAAUGUGCGUUUUAUAUAAUUUCAUACAAAGGCGCGUCAAACGACUUUCCGUAUGAACGCAUAUAUUGUUUGCGUUGUGCGUUAUGAAAAUUUAAAACCAAUCAGUUUCGAAUACAUAAUAUAAUAUGAUAUGAUAUAUGCACCUAUAAUAUUAUACGGAUACAGCUUUUGUUUGCCAAAUAUCGUAAACCGGAAAGGGGAAGGGAAGUUCAAAUUUUACGAUAGGUACAAAAAAAGAAAAAAAAAAGAAGACUGCCAUACUUAGCACGACGGGUGGGUCACUGCUGUAGGUGAGAAGUCGGCAAGGUAGUAUAUGGAAGGCGAUUUAGUUUAUAUUUGUACGUAACGAUGCAUGAAUAUCGCUAACGAAAAAACGGUUCGGAGCGAAGUUCAGUUGUACGCGUGUUUUUCGUAAAUAUUUACGAUUUCGGUCAAAAUUUGAUAUUCAAAUUCUUAUAAAUGAACCUCCUGUUAAUGUCCAGGCAUUUCUGUUUAAUUAUAACAAUUUCGUCUGCAGAGUAUCUACUAAAUAAAAAUUGCGUAAACAACUCGCAAAAUAUCUAUAAAUAGCUCAGAAAUGGCUAAAAUGUUUUGAAAAUGUUUUAAAAAAAGACAAAUAUGAGUUUUCUGUUUAAAUCACAAUAAGUCCCUACGAAUGUGUCUAACUGAAUUAUAACGAAAAGAAAAACUUGAAAAUUAUACGUUACGUGUAAUUCCCCGUUUUUUUUUUUUUCUAUGAAAACCGUCUGGAAAAUCAAAAUAUAAUCUCCUCGAGUAUCCGAAUAGAUAAAAUUUCCUAUCAGAGAAGCCGCUACACUAUUGAUACUUCGGGAAUUUCUGGUAUAAAAGUUGUUUACGGGGGGGGGGGGGAGGGGAAACAUCACUGUAAAACCAAUACAUUCCUCGUCACGAACGGAAUUUGUAUAAAAAUGUACAGUGUCGCGCAAUAUCAAUUAUUUUUUUGUUACGUACCUGCAGUACAUACAUUACGUUUUAGCGGAUCCGGGUAAUUUCGUUUAAUCUCUUUUUGAUUAAAAAGAACACAAUUUACCACGGUGUGACCCCGCGCGAGCGUGCGACGCGCUUAUAAAUACCCAUAUUAUAAUAUAAAAUGUACACACGAAUGCGAACAGAAAUUGUAUGUGUUUUACUCGUUUCCGGGAUAUCGGACGCGAAAUAAUUGUCGGGCGCUUGCAAUUAACCGAGCAAAUUUGAGCAAACGAAGAAAACGGUCUUAAUUGCGCGUGGUGUCGGUAAUAAUAAUAAUAAUAAUAAUAAUAAUAAUAAUAAUAAUUCUAUUGUCUUUAGACGAAAUCGAUUUUAACGCAAUUCAUACCUAUAUAUCGAUACUAUCGUGUUUCGUUUUAACUCGUCUCCUCCGUGUUCACGCGAACAAUAUGCGUGUACUGAUAUUUUAAAAAAUAAAAACCUCCCGUGCGAAAAACGGGGUGCGCAGUUUUCUCUACCGCCUUAGUAAUGGACUAUAAUACCGAUUCUAAUUUUUUUUAAAAACCGUUAAUAAUAAGCGUACUGUUAUCAUAUCUCGACCUAACGAUACCUACGAUGAAGGUAAUCAUAUAGUAUCGAAAAAAAAUGUUUCGGAUACGAUAAUCGUAGAUGUCAAAUGCGGAUAAACGAGCGAUAUUGAGUUCAAUCGGGACCGGAUUACAGGGGCCCGGGGUUAAAAACCAACGGGCAAAAAAAGAGGUCAUUAACAAAAAUACACAAUGUGCGGCUCCCUUCAACUUGCGGCCCGGGGAUAUAGCCCCCUAUCCCCCCCCUUGAUCCGGCCUCGAGUUUAAUAUAAAUUGCGUUAAAACGGCGGUUUUUUGUGUUUUUUUGAGGAAAUUCUCGACGUUUCUUCGAAUAAAGUGUAUCGGUAUUCAUAUUAUCGGAUGUAUACCUGUGGUACCUGUAGUGGUUAGUGCGAUUAUCGCUGCGCUUGGCGUCACUGCACAUCAGUGUCGGUGCCCGCGGUAACCGUCGAACGUAAAAUUCGACUGUCGGAUGCAGACCGAUUCCGAAUAGAACACCCUUUUUAGGUUCUGAACGGAGCGAGGAAUGUAUUGAUUUUACAGUGGAUGUUUAUUACCAUUUUUUUUUUUUUUUUUUAUGUGAAUACUUUUACUACCAGAAAACUUACUCCGAUUAUCGAGUAUAGCACGUUUUCUGAAAGAAAAAGGUGGUACUUUAGAGUGGUUAUUUUUUUUUUGAAAUUCUCAUUAAUAUUUGAGAUAACGAGCAAAACCUGGUUUUUUAAGUUAAACGAGAUUGUGAAAGAAUAAAAAUAAGGUUGUCAUUGGCAACCGUUUUUUUAAAUUUAUUUUUUGUUAUUGAGUUUUUAUUAUUUUAAUCUGUUUGAAACAAUCAUUGUUGUCAUGGAAACCCUGCACAUUAUUGUAAUCAUUUUACCAUAAUAUGACAUGUAUAUAUAUUGUUGACAAAGUAACACUAUCAACUGAACUCCGCUCAGAAUAGUUUUUUCGUUAGCAGUGGUUCAUCAUCGUCGCUUACAGGCACACAAUAAAUUCUCGUCUGUAUCCUAUGUAUGUUCCCAACUUCCCGCCUACAACAGUGGCUGCGCAUACGUGCGAAGUAAGUCCGUAUUUUUUGUUUUCUUAAUUUAAUUUUUUUUUUUUCCUCGUCUCCGGAGACCCCGAAACGCGUCGUAUUUCCCCGCGAAAACUCGGUAUCGAUUUUCGAACGCCGACGUACGCGAUAUUAUCGCGCAGAAAACAAACACAAACCGCAUGAAUAUUGUAUAAUAAUAAUAAUAUAAUAUAUUGUAUUAUAACGAGCGUAGGCGCAAACAAGUCGCGGUAUAUUCGCGGCGUGUAACAAUAAUAAUAUAUCGUUUAUUAUAAUAAUAUGUGCGUAUAUAAUAACAUAACGAUAUUCGGAAACGCGGUUCGCGGGCGUGCGUGUCCGGAACGUCGUGUAAACACGAGACCUCGUUAUAUUGACAGCGGCUACGCGAAACGCCGACGCCGCGGCACGGGACUUUUAAGCAACAAUAGUAUAAAAUAAUAUUAUGUUUAACUUCUGUCCGUUUCGAACUGUCGGCCGUGUAUAAUACGGUCGGCGUUAUGUAGGAGCGUUAUGACGACGACUAGCGCGAUGUUUCGCAAAGUGUAGAGCAAACAAUACGCGGCGUGACAGUGUAUGAUACAAUGGCGGGCGGGCAGGCGCAGGGGGGGGAAGCGGAGAAAAAACCCCGCUCCGAAAUCGAGCGGAGACGCACGUCUAACGUUAUAAUUUACGGGGCUAUUUACCUACGACCCGUAUAAAGUCGAGUUUGUCUCCGCCGAGACUUGACGUGUACCGUCAGUUUUCCACAAACGCGUCACGUAUAAAUAACCGAAGCGGUCCCCGUUUAUUAACUACAUUUAAACAAUUAUUGCCGCGAUAAAAUGAAGGUAUAUUACGGCGUAUAGUGCGUUUAAAACUUUUAUUCAACUCUUAUUUUAUGAAAUAUUUAUUCGGCCAGAAUAGUAGCGAAACAACACUACAAAAAAAUCCCACAAAAGAUUCCACAAUCACUCUAAUCCCCUUAUUUCAGAUCUAUCCUUAAACUCAUUUCUGGGUAAUACUACUCAAAGAGACUUAAUCGAAAGUGGUCCAGAGACUUUCUAUAAUAGUAGAUAAACAAGCUGGUUAGCAUAGUGCAUACAUUUUUAACCAUAAAAUAAAAAAAAAAAAAAUUUAACUUUUAUCAUACUAAGAUAUUGUUAUAUUGGCGUUUUGCCAAAGUACCGCGGAUUGAUUAAGACAUAAAAUAUAAGUAUUUCUAAUUCGACCGUCCUAUGCCAAUAAGAACGGGAAAGGAAAUGACUAUCUUACUGCGAACAGUGCAGAGAACCAAUUCGACCAGUAGUGGAUACAUCACAAAUUUAAACGGAAACCAAUUCGGCUGACCUUUACAAAAUACCUUUUCCAAACGGGAACCAAUUCGCAAACAUCCGUAUAAAUACGCAGCGAUAAAUAGAAGUCUGAAACCGAGGCCCGCAGCCGUAACUAGUUAAAUUUCUAUUCUUUAAACCGACAUCAAAAAAAAAAAAAAAAAAUUCGUUGAUAACUUCAGCCGCUAGUAAAAUCCCCGCGCCUUGUACGACACAUAGGCCCCUUCAGCCGUUCGCAUUUAUAGCAAAGUGAUUCGUUUGAUUUCAAAUAAUUCGUUAACUAUAAUACCUAUACAUGAUAUUAUAAUAUAUUUAAACCCGUUAUAAUAUUAUAGGUUUGAUCGCGAUUGUACGCCGUUAAAUAAAAUAUUUGAAAUUUACGGUUUUACCGUAUGGGGUAUACUUACCCCAUAAAUGUCUAUAAUAUAAUAUAUAGGUACACUUAACACAGUCUCGGUUCGUGAACUUUGUAUGUGGUGAGAUGAAUAUUUUGAAAAUUACAAGUGGAGAGGGUGUUAAUGUAUGCGGAGAGACGAAUACUACCCUACAUACUAUUUGAAAUAGCUGAAAACUAUGAGGUGUUAGCUGUUCUUUGUUGAUUUUAUAUUUCAAUCAUAAUAUUAUUGUCAUACUACAAACACGAUUUAUGAUUUUCGACUUAUCAGUACUCGUCUAAUUAUUUUGAGCAUUUAAAAACAUUUAGUUUAUAUAUAUAUUUCUCUAAAACUGAUUAAUAGUCGACAUAGUAUACGUUUCGAAUGAAAUUUGUUUUACAAUUUUGAAAGAUGACACAUUCAUAAUAAGCUUAUAAUGUAUGUCAUAUGUAAUAGGACGGCUGCAGUAGACGAGGUAGCGUCUCACUCGCCUUACUCGCCCCCCGACUCGACAUAAUAUACAAGAUUAAAAAACAAUAAUCCUGACUUGGUCUCGCCCGUUUUUGUGCCGAGUUAAACGUAUUUUUGAAAAAAAAUAAUACAACAACAAGCGAACUCGAAGAAUUCAAAAUCGGUAUUCAAAGGUUAUAUAAUAAUACAGUCGUUUUAAUCGAUAAUAUUAUAUUGUAUUGCGAACACACAUACAAAAAAAAUUUUAAAAAAACUCGAUACGUACAAUAAUUUCAAACGAUGACAACCGCAGGCUCUUUACGCGAACGUCGCCCCCUAUCAUCCGGACUCAUAUAUACGUGUGCAAUAUCCAGAACGAUUGAUCGGGUGUCGACUGUUCCCCCCCCCCAAAAAAAAACCGUGUUGUCUGUCGUCGGAAAUUCGCCGUAAAGUGCUUUCACGCGGAACGCGCCCUAAAUAUAAAUUAGCCCGCGCGUCAUAGCGUUUUGUAUUCACGUGUGUGUGCAGCGAGCGCGCGGGCCCCGUCGACGGGCGACAUUUUAUCAUUUUUACACGCGCUCGGCCCUCCGCCUGUGCAUGCUUAUGUACGUAAGUUCAUUAGCGGGAGCGCGGCGGAGUCGUUAAACAAAUUCUACGUGUACACCGCCGCACUAUCGCGCCGAAUCAACGCGAUAAUAUGUACGUGCCCGAAAUAUUAUUACGACCUCGCAAACCCCAUCCCUCUCCCCCGUCCGCCGUGACGGUCCCACUCCGCCCCUUCUCCCCCGCCCUAUCUUCUGUGCCUAUACACCGUUUGAUCGAGAAAGCGCGGUCUAGAAAAAAAAAAAAGCAAGCUCAGGCAAUAAUCGAGACUGCUGCGCUACGGUAUAUAUGCGCGCGUUUUAAUGCGUUAUUAUGAUGCGUUUUUAGGACGUGUGAGCGAGGACGACACGCAAUCACGCUGGCAGCCGGGGAAAUGCUGCAGGAUCUUCCGAAUGAACGAAACUUCGGUGGUGCGCUCCGUGUUGUUCGAUUACGGUCGUCAAGAAGGCGGACGUAAAUAAAAUGCAUUUUGCAUAAA